rnacentral:lncRNA from 1 species
CCUCCUUUCAUAAGACUAGAAUUCCCCCAGAAGCUCCUCUAACUAGUAGAUCUCUCCAACCAAUCUCCUUAGUCUUCCAAAUACUUUGGAUAAUCCCAAUAGAGAUUAUUUCCAUUUUAGAUUCCUACAGACAAAUCACAUCAGGUUUUUUCUUACUCAUGCAACCCCUAAUAACAUGCAUCUUUUUACAGUACUUUAUACCUCUUAUCUUCCAAGAAAUAAUGCGACCAAACAUGUUUUGAUUCAACCCCUAAUGAGUUACCAAUACUCACAACCUACUCAGGGUCAAAACUCCUUUUUGCUAUUAUUCCUUUGUCUGGCAAUCCUAGCGUUCCUUAAACCUUAUAUGAAACCGCUAUCCAUCUAAGUUGGUAAGUUGUUAUGGAGGAGU